rnacentral:rRNA from 1 species
AUAAACUCCGAAUGCCAUGUACUUAUACUCGGGAGUCAGACUGCGAGUGAUAAGAUCCGUAGUCGAAAGGGAAACAGCCCAGACCACCAGUUAAGGUCCCCAAAUAUAUGUUAAGUGGAAAAGGAUGUGGGGUUGCUUAGACAACCAGGAUGUUGGCUUAGAAGCAGCCACCAUUGAAAGAGUGCGUAAUAGCUCACUGGUCGAGUGACCCCGCGCCGAAAAUGUACCGGGGCUAAACAUAUUACCGAAACUGUGGAUGAACCUCUUUAGAGGUUCGUGGUAGGAGAGCGUUCUAAGGGCGGUGAAGUCAGACCGGAAGGACUGGUGGAGCGCUUAGAAGUGAGAAUGCCGGUAUGAGUAGCGAAAGAAGGGUGAGAAUCCCUUCCACCGAAUAUCUAAGGUUUCCUGAGGAAGGCUCGUCCGCUCAGGGUUAGUCGGGACCUAAGCCGAGGCCGAUAGGCGUAGGCGAUGGACAACAGGUAGAGAUUCCUGUACCAGUGCUAAUUGUUUAACCGAUGGGGUGACACAGAAGGAUAGGGAAUCGCACGAAUGGAAAUGUGCGUCCAAGCAGUGAGUGUGAGAAGUAGGCAAAUCCGCUUCUCGCGAAGCAUGAGCUGUGAUGGGGAAGGAAAUUAAGUACGGAAGUUCCUGAUUUCACGCUGUCAAGAAAAGCCUCUAGGAAGAGUAGUACUGCCCGUACCGCAAACCGACACAGGUAGAUGAGGAGAGAAUCCUAAGGUGAGCGAGAGAACUCUCGUUAAGGAACUCGGCAAAAUGACCCCGUAACUUCGGGAGAAGGGGUGCUCUAUUAGGGUGCAAGCCCGAGAGAGCCGCAGUGAAUAGGCCCAGGCGACUGUUUAGCAAAAACACAGGUCUCUGCAAAACCGUAAGGUGACGUAUAGGGGCUGACGCCUGCCCGGUGCUGGAAGGUUAAGAGGAGUGCUUAGCUUCGGCGAAGGUACGAAUUGAAGCCCCAGUAAACGGCGGCCGUAACUAUAACGGUCCUAAGGUAGCGAAAUUCCUUGUCGGGUAAGUUCCGACCCGCACGAAAGGCGCAACGAUCUGGGCACUGUCUCAACGAGAGACUCGGUGAAAUUAUAGUACCUGUGAAGAUGCAGGUUACCCGCGACAGGACGGAAAGACCCCGUGGAGCUUUACUGCAACCUGAUAUGGAAUGUUUGUACCGCUUGUACAGGAUAGGUAGGAGCCGAAGAGACGUGUGCGCUAGCAUACGAGGAGGCAAUGGUGGGAUACUACCCUGGCUGUAUGACCAUUCUAACCCGCCACGCUUAGCGCGUGGGGAGACAGUGUCAGGUGGGCAGUUUGACUGGGGCGGUCGCCUCCUAAAGAGUAACGGAGGCGCCCAAAGGUUCCCUCAGAAUGGAUGGAAAUCAUUCGCAGAGUGUAAAGGCACAAGGGAGCUUGACUGCGAGACUGACAAGUCGAGCAGGGACGAAAGUCGGGCUUAGUGAUCCGGUGGUUCCGCAUGGAAGGGCCAUCGCUCAACGGAUAAAAGCUACCCCGGGGAUAACAGGCUUAUCUCCCCCAAGAGUCCACAUCGACGGGGAGGUUUGGCACCUCGAUGUCGGCUCGUCGCAUCCUGGGGCUGUAGUCGGUCCCAAGGGUUGGGCUGUUCGCCCAUUAAAGCGGCACGCGAGCUGGGUUCAGAACGUCGUGAGACAGUUCGGUCCCUAUCCGUCGCGGGCGCAGGAAAUUUGAGAGGAGCUGUCCUUAGUACGAGAGGACCGGGAUGGACACACCGCUGGUGUACCAGUUGUUCCGCCAGGAGCAUCGCUGGGUAGCUAUGUGUGGCAGGGAUAAACGCUGAAAGCAUCUAAGCGUGAAGCCCCCCUCAAGAUGAGAUUUCCCAUUUCUUCGGAAAGUAAGAUCCCUGAAAGAUGAUCAGGUAGAUAGGUUUGGAGUGGAAGUGUAGCGAUACAUGGAGCGGACAAAUACUAAUCGAUCGAGGACUUAACCAAAA